rnacentral:rRNA from 1 species
GCGCACGGGUGCGUAACGCGUAUGCAACCUACCUUUUACUAGAGUAUAGCCCAGAGAAAUUUGGAUUAAUCCUCUAUAAUAUCUUUUAAUCUCCUGAUUUUAAGAUUAAAGUUUUAACGGUAAAAGAUGGGCAUGCGUCCUAUUAGUUUGUAGGUGAGGUAACGGCUCACCUAGACUACGAUAGGUAGGGGCCCUGAGAGGGGGAUCCCCCACACUGGUACUGAGACACGGACCAGACUCCUACGGGAGGCAGCAGUAAGGAAUAUUGGACAAUGGACGAAAGUCUGAUCCAGCCAUGCCGCGUGCAGGAUGACAGCCCUACGGGUUGUAAACUGCUUUUAUACAGGAAGAAACACUCCGACGUGUCGGAGCUUGACGGUACUGUAAGAAUAAGGAUCGG